CAUGUUAAAAACUCCUUACAGUGGCUUUAAUAUCAACGUAACAAAUAUUCAUAUUUUGGUAGAAGUAAAAUGUUUAGACAAAUGUGACUUCUAUAAAUGACAGAUUUUUGUUCCUCUUUCAUCCCACUUCUGCUCCCCACCAUCAGAAUCUAACAUUUUUAACACCACAGAAGUUUCCGUGGGCAUCAACAGAUAAAAGUAUCAGAACCUGUUUGAUCUUCAGUGCUCCGGAAAUGCGGCAGAAAACAUCUUUAAAGGUCCCAGAGCUCAGGACAGCCCGCUGCGCUGAGACUCUUUACGAUACCAGAGGGAUGUGGAGGUAAAAGGUCUACCAUCGGUGAGUCCUGCUCUCUGUAGAUGGAUCACUCGCUCACUGCUGUUAAGGUGACAGUUUAUUUUUCACUGUGAGGUUUCAGGGAUUCAUGUCCAGCGGGCAGAGGAGAUUACGCAGCAGUCACCACAUCUGACACCAGCCUUCAUUUUGGCAAAUACCAUGAAUGUGAAAGAGUCUCUUCUCUGCUGCACUUUGUGGUGUACUCUGAUAAAACUCAGGUGAGUAUCUUUACCUCACGCAGGUUUCAUUAAAUGACAAAUUUGGAUACUUUGAGUUCUUUGAUCCUUAACUUGAAUCUCAGGGACUGACACAAAUUUGUCCUCUGCUUUGACACAACUUCCUGAGUUAGCAUCAGCACCAGGGAUCAGCCCUCAAUCUGAAGUUACUACAUUCACCACAGCUGGAGUGUCUUUGCUGAAGG